rnacentral:rRNA from 1 species
CACGGGGGGGAGCGAACGUUGUUCGGAAUCACUGGGCGUAAAGGGCGUGUAGGCGGUUCGGUAAGUGGAAUGUGAAAUCCCCCGGCUUACCCGGGGAAUGGCGUCUGAUACUGGAUGGCUUGAGUUUGGGAGAGGGAUGCGGAAUUCCAGGUGUAGCGGUGAAAUGCGUAGAUAUCUGGAGGAACACCGGUGGCGAAGGCGGCAUCCUGGACCAACACUGACACUGAGGAGCGAAAGCCAGGGGAGCAAAGCGGGG